CUGUACGGUAACAGAAACGUUUCAUUUAUAUACCUUUAUUAUACGUCAUGAUGUCAUUGCAUAAGCUGGCCUAGAGAGUACUGGAAAAACACAUUUAAAGAUUGUUGUAGAUCAGAGGCAUUUGUUGCAAUAAGCGCAGUAUCAUCAGCAUAUAAAAGACAUACAAAGUGCAUUGCCAUUUCACACAAAUAAGAACACCAUGUUGAAAGAAACGCUGUGUAUUCUGGUCGUCUGUCUGGCUGUAGUCAUACCGGAAGUAGCCGGUGAUGCGUGCAAGCGCUACACAGUAAACGGAUGUAGCAUCCCCUGUAAAGUGCACCUUUUCUACAAGAAACAAUUCACGGGCGCUUGUAACAGACACGACGUUUGUUACAAUUGUGGCAAGGCCAGGAAUAGAAAUCGAAAGACGUGCGAUAGAAGUUUCCUGUCCAACAUGAGGUCCACGUGUAGCUGGUGGAAAGCUACCUGUUGGUCGGCUGCCUAUGUGUACUACCUGGCCGUCAGGGCCGGAGGGUCGAAGCGAUACAAGCAGACGUCGCCAUCGUGGUGCGGCGAGAGCUGGGUUUCCGGUUGCAUGAAAUAAGCCAAUCAUUUGGAAGCAUGUCCGUUCAAAGAGGGAGGUAACUCCCAGUUUUGUUUAAUAUGGCGAAUAAACAGAGUAACAGAA